UACGUAGGGUGCAAGCGUUGUCCGGAAUUACUGGGCGUAAAGGGCGCGUAGGCGGCCGCCUAAGUCGAACGUGAAAUCCCCGGGCUCAACCCGGGAACUGCGUCCGAUACUGGGUGGCUUGAAUUCGGGAGAGGGAUGCGGAAUUCCAGGUGUAGCGGUGAAAUGCGUAGAUAUCUGGAGGAACACCGGUGGCGAAGGCGGCAUCCUGGACCGACAUUGACGCUGAGGCGCGAAAGCCAGGGGAGCAAAGCGGGAUUAAGAUGACC
rnacentral:rRNA from 1 species